CCCUUAGAUGUCCUGGGCCGCACGCGCGUUACACUGAUGCAUUCAACGAGCUUAUAACCUUGGCCGAGAGGCCUGGGCAAUCUUGUUAACGUGCAUCGUGAUAGGGAUAGAUUAUUGAAAUUAUUAAUCUUGAACGAGGAAUUCCUAGUAAACGCAGAUCAUCAAUCUGCAUUGAUUACGUCCCUGCCCUUUGUACACACCGCCCGUCGCACCUACCGAUUGGAUGGUCCGGUGAAAUCUUCGGAUCUGAGAGAUGUCUGAUUAAUUUCGGACGCCUUUUGGAAAAGUUGUUUAAACCUUACCAUUUAGAGGAAGGUGAAGUCGUAACA
rnacentral:rRNA from 1 species